CGGGGUCAGCCAUGUUUCCGUCAGACAAAAGAUAUUACAGUCCCUCAUGUCCCGUUGGAAUCUGAUCCUUGCCCUAACAUCAUCCAUCUUAUUUUCCAGAGACUGGACGUUAGCAAGAAGGAUGCUGGGCAGAGGUGGACGGUGGGCUUGAACUCUCAGUCUGUUCCGAAUUCCGCUCCGUUUCCCUCGAUGUUUUCGUCGUCUCCCCGUAGUAGCGGCUCCACUGUUGUUGAUGUGGUUCGCUCGUACGAUCUCUGCCGGCCACGCUGGAUCGUACGAGCCCUCAGCCCGAGACUAAGGACACAUUUACUUUACUGAUAUCACUUCUCAGAAUUUCUGAGUAAAGUAAAACCACACCAAUUGAUUAUGGUAGUCAACAUGCCCAUUUGUUUAGCAUAAUUUAUUUUUUUCCCCCCGAGUACAGUUUCAUCUGCCUCCUCUGCAGAGUAAAAGUGGCCUUAUUUUCAGCAGUUCUUCUCGGACAUUCUUCCUCUCUCCCUUGGUUGCUGCCCAUUACUUUAUAAUGUCUGCUGUCUGCUGUAUGAAAUUAUCCUGCAGAUUCUCCGAUACAUUGGGGAGAAAAGAAAAUCAACACCACCACCAUCCCCCUCCAACUGCAUUCCCUUUGCCUUUUGCGCGGCUUAUUAUCGCACCACUCACAAUACAAUAUGUUCUUAUUGAAGCUUUCAGAUGCAAAUUAGAGCACUGUCGCCUUCUCUGUGUCCUUCUGACAGCUGUGAGGCCUGCUAGCCAACCUCCUAUAAUUGCUACUAAUUGUUAUUCCCCAAGCAGGACUCAGCAGAGCACUUCAGAACACCCUGCCCCCAGUCAUUUGGACUGGGGGGAGCUGGAGUAGUAUGUGGUUGGUUUAUGUCUUCACAUAUUUUUUGGGUUUUGUUUAAGUAAAUACAUUGGGAGAGAUGGGAAUUAACGAAGGGGGUUUGCAACUCUUCCAGGAAAAAUAAACCGGAACUUUCCUACGUGUGCCUCCUAAGAGCAAUGCUCAAUGCCUAUAGAGAAAGUAAAACUAAGUAAAGUAAAGUAAGCUGUUUACAGUGAGACCCAAGCCUUUGCUGGAGGAUGAAGUACAAUGACAUCAUGUCAUCUACUACCCAUGGUUGUUAGAUGGCCAGCUCCAACAAAUCCCAACUCUUAUUGACUCCCAUUCAGAAAGCAACAAACCUUCUUGCUAGAAAUGCUAAGUCAAUACAUGUUUUGCAAUGGUCUCAAUCGCUGGUGGUCGUUUUGUCAAGGAUUCCUCCGUUAAUAAUAUAACUAGGCCAAGGGCAUUGAUUGACAGUUGUGAUUGACAGUAGGCACGCCUGCCGCUCUGUCCGGCUUCAGGAAUCGCACUAACUGAUUUCUGAGCUUGUACAUUGGUUGGUUCUGUUUGUUCACAUCACUUCCUGUGUGUAUGAGCCCGAGAGGACAGAGAUCGUUUAUCUGUCAGGAAGCUGACUAGCUGUCUCUCUCUCUCUGUGCCUGUCAACUCUUUGUUUAUCUGGACUGACAGCGCUGACAAUGGUGCUUUCCACAUUCAUACAUACACAUACACACACACCACAGUAUGCAGGAAUUAAAAUAUGGGGAAAUGAAAACGUUUGGAUGCGUUGGUAUUUUACAAAAUUCAAUACAAAAUGUAAUUCGUGGAUUUUUGUUAAUAAUAGCAGAUUCAGUUGUUCUUUGUCAUGGUCUAAACCCAUAACCCAGAUAUUGAACUAGAUCACAUUUGAUUAUUACAGCUGGAGGAAGGUUGUAACUCUGUCUCUGUUCAAAUAUGGUCUCUGAUUCCAGAUGUGAAUGUGGUCCGUGAUUGGUAUCUGGAUGUCCACUGGUGCAUGAAGAUAGCCCUCCUCCCAGUCGGUGCUUUGACUGGUUUUGGUUUUCGUCUCAUGGUUCUUGUCAUUAGGGUGUUCCAGCAAAAAUGUAGGGCACACCAAGGACACCAAAGCAUUUUUUCCUAUCUUAAAACAUAAACUUCUUUUCUAGGGUUGUCACCACGGACAUCCAGUUUGAAUUAUUGCAAAUAUAUAAAUAUUGCAAUACUUUUAUUAGUGGGCUCAUCAGGUUGUGUUACCUCCUUCAGCUGGAAGGCCUGAAGGCCAGUGAGCUGGUAAUGGUUAAAAAACAGAUCAAACUGCAUAUGGUUUGUGAUCUAUUCAAAGUUUGGGCUCAUAUAAAAAAGGUAUUUCUCCACUCCCUUUCCUCAAUUGGCUUGUAAUUUCACAGUUGUUCAGUUUACUUCUAUAAAGUCCUGUACUUGUAAAGAUGUUGUACCUCCUGAUUUUACUUUUUGUUUUAGGAUUGCUCAAUGACUAACUGUUUGUAAGUUUGCAGUUCACUUUGUUCCAUGACUAAUAGUGUAAUUUAGGCCUGUUGACAUGCAGCAGGGAGAGGCCUUUGAAGUAGAGUAGAGCAGGACACUGACAUGGAGACUCGAGCAGCCAUCUUCAACAUCAAAGAGAACAAGUAGUUAUAAUAAUGGUGGCAAACACCAUCCCCCUGUCUCUGCCUUUCUUCUUUCAUCAUUUCUUAUCUCUAUGCUCAGUCAUUUACACAAUGUUGUCAUUUCUGCUUCGUAUUAUUCUUGUUUUAAUCCCUUCAUCCUUCUCUUCUAUUACAUUGCCCGGAAUUUGUGAAAUUUAAACAUACCUUGUAGCCCACACAUAUGGCAAUCAGUACUAGAAAAAAGACAAAUUUAAGGAUAAUAGGAUUGCUUUCUCAAUCUGGACAUGCACAUAUACAAAAAUAAAUAAGUUGGUCAUAUGGCCGUACGUAAAUAUAUAUAUAUAUAUAUAUAUAUAUUCUGUAUCUGUAUGCAGUACUUUUUCUUAUAGUAGGGCUGCUAUGACAGAAGGGACAACGCUCCAGCUAAUGCCUUAAGUCUGUGUAGAUUGCCAUGAUGAAUACUGUAGCUCUGUUGUUGAGGUCUAGCAGUUCAGAUGAUUUUUUGGUCAGUAUUUUAGAACAGUCAGCAUUGUGCUGGGAACAUUGAAAUCUAUGCUAUUGUAGAGUAUUGGACAGGAGGUGUUGGGCAACAGACAUACAUGAGCUUUGGCUGGCAUUGUUCAAAGGUACUCAACUGUUUAUUACAUUUGACCUUUUGACCAUGAACUUAUAAAAAUAGGUUUCUACUUGGGUGUUUGUGUAGGUUUUUUUCAACCAUAGCUUCCUUUCAAAACAUCAAAUCAAGAGACAACAAUAACACAAUGUGCUCUUUCAAACAUCUAUGGCAUAGCAUGUUCUCACAUAAUGUUUUGCCUCAUCACCUUUCAUCUCCCACAUCACUGAUUUGUUCAGUGAUUCAAAUAGUUCUGGUGUCAUGCUCAUUGAUGUUUGUUUCCCUGGUGGGAAACACAACCAUCAAGUACAGCUUUACAGUCAAACAUUAAUAACCAAAGACCCAACCACACCUCUAAUGUCUACAUUUAAAAGUUUCCUAUGCUUUUUUCACAACCUUUUUAGCUAGUGUUAUGACUUGAAUGCACUCAAAUCCCCAUUGGUAGUAUAUUAACAGACAAACUUCCAUUUGCUAAUAAAAAAAUCGUAAAGGCAAACGGUAUGUUGUCCUUCCCUCACGGACCUAGAAGAGACAAUGAAAGUAGGCUUGUGCAUCCACCCUGAUGAGGUUUGGCAAAAUGGGUGGACAGGGUCUUUGACUUGUCCAUAAUGGUCUCCCUGUCGGUCUCCCUUGGCAGGACGUUGAGAUUCGGAACAAUGCAGCUCAGUACCUGCCUCAGAUCAGCCAGCUGUUGAAUCGAGUCCCCCGGGAGAUGCUGCUGCUGCUGAAGACCAACGACUUGCUGAGGAGCAUUGAGACCAUCUUACAGACCAGAUCCUCCUCCUCGUCCUUCAUUAACAUGUCCCGCUGCUGCAUACGUGCCGUGGCCAGGCACAAGAGGAGUAAGGCUCAGUCGAUGAGGAGGCAUCUCCAGAUCACACUGGCGGAGUCCCUCAACCUGUGGAGACUCUCGAUGUAUGAACUGUUUCUGUGGGUGAGCAGCUUGACAGUUGGACACUGGCUCGCUACUCUGCUGCCUUUUCUGCACAUUGGACAUUAACUCCAUACUGGAAGUUAUUUCAGUUGGUGUCAAAUCCAGCCACUUCCUGUGAGUUGGAACGCACAUAAAGAACACAAAUGUAAUAAUUUAAGAUCAAUAGUAAUGUAAUUAAUUAAAGUGAAGAAUGCCAUUUGUUGGACCCCUGUGUCACUUCUCUUUACUUUUCUGUUAACAUGUUUCAUAAUCUUUCACAAAUUCUCACCAAGGAGGAACACCCUUAUUGUGCCACACUUUCUUGUAUACUAAAUGCCAAAACAGAAUUUUUAAAGAGAUUGUUCCGACGUUAUAUAUUGAGUUUGCAGCGUUGAAUUGUGAUGGAGUACAAGGGAACAAGAUUAAGCCAUUGAAAUGACCCUGAAAGAGAUGCAGAAAAAUAAAAAAACAAGUGAACUUGUA